rnacentral:rRNA from 1 species
AACGAACGCUGGCGGCAGGCCUAACACAUGCAAGUCGAGCGAAGCCUUCGGGCUUAGCGGCGGACGGGUGAGUAACGCGUGGGAACGUGCCCUUUGGUACGGAAUAGCCCCGGGAAACUGGGAGUAAUACCGUAUGUGGUCGAGAGACGAAAGAUUUAUCGCCAAAGGAUCGGCCCGCGUUGGAUUAGGUAGUUGGUGGGGUAAUGGCCUACCAAGCCGACGAUCCAUAGCUGGUUUGAGAGGAUGAUCAGCCACACUGGGACUGAGACACGGCCCAGACUCCUACGGGAGGCAGCAGUGGGGAAUCUUAGACAAUGGGGGAAACCCUGAUCUAGCCAUGCCGCGUGAUCGAUGAAGGCCUUAGGGUUGUAAAGAUCUUUCAGUGGGGAAGAUAAUGACUGUACCCACAGAAGAAGCCCCGGCUAACUCCGUGCCAGCAGCCGCAGUAAAAC